rnacentral:lncRNA from 1 species
CUUUCAUCUCACGUCAUGCCAUGCAGGGUGACUGGCACGGGUGCCCAAGGAUAACACUACUACCUUCCUGUCACAGUGGCAGAUGCCUGCCAACCAGCACCGAGGAACGAAUUGCUGAUACAAGUGAAUUGAAUUUGUGUAUCACACCCAAGAGCAUGACCGGAAAGUAUCCUGUUAGAGUUCAGAAUUGCUCUUCAGUGAGAAGACGAGGAGAAAAGGUAGGAGAUGAAGCUUUGAAAGAAAAAAAAAGUCAGAGCCACUAGUAAGGGGGUGAGGAGUUUUAUCUUUCUAAAUCUUGCUAGGAGAACAGAAUAGGUGACUGGAUCCUGGUAUAGCAGAUAGAGUGAAGAUGGAGUGGGCAAAGGCAGUGAGAAGCCCAUAGCCUAGUCAGCACUUACUACUG